rnacentral:rRNA from 1 species
ACGGAGGGUGCAAGCGUUAAUCGGAAUUACUGGGCGUAAAGCGCACGCAGGUGGUCUGUCAAGUCGGAUGUGAAAUCCCCGGGCUUAACCUGGGAACUGCAUUCGAAACUGGCAGGCUAGAGUCUUGUAGAGGGGGGUAGAAUUCCAGGUGUAGCGGUGAAAUGCGUAGAGAUCUGGAGGAAUACCGGUGGCGAAGGCGGCCCCCUGGACAAAGACUGACGCUCAGGUGCGAAAGCGUGGGGAGCAAACAG